AUUGAACGCUAGCGGCAGGCCUAACACAUGCAAGUCGAGCGGAGUGGCGACCGGGUGAGUAAUGUCUCGGAACCUGCCUGGUAGUGGGGGAUAACUUCCGGAAACGGUCGCUAAUACCGCAUACUAUCAGAUGAGCCUAUGUCGGAUUAGCUAGUUGGUGGGGUAAAGGCCUACCAAGGCGACGAUCCGUAACUGGUUUGAGAGGAUGACCAGUCCAACUGGGACUGAGAAACGGUCCAGACUCCUACGGGAGGCAGCAGUGGGGAAUAUUGGACAAUGGGCGAAAGCCUGAUCCAGCCAUGCCGCGUGUGUGAAGAAGGCCUUCGGGUUGUAAAGCACUUUUGGUUGGGAGGCGUUACCAGCAGAAUAAGCACCGGCUAACUACGUGCCAGCAGCCGCGGUAAUAC
rnacentral:rRNA from 1 species